CACACACACGAGUGAUAAUAUUAAUAUUAAUAAUAAACAAGAACAAAAAUCCUAAGAAGUAUACUAUCUAAAGGGGGAAAAAAGAGUACAUAUACAUGCAAGGUUGGGCGAGAGCAUUUUGGGUAAUGGAAUGGAGACUUCUGACAUGUUUGGGUUGGGGUAUCUGUUUUUUUUUUUUUUAAAUCAGGGUGUUUUAGAAGCUGUGGAAAAGUAGACCAACAGAUCAGAAAGAUUCCCAGAAGGAUGUUAAAAAAAAAAUCAAAAACAAAAAACCGAGUGGAGUCUGUGAUGAAAGCCGUGUAGUAAAGCAUGGGCUUGGAAUAUGGUGGGCUCCGUGUUCAGCUCACAGCACCAUUUGGGGGGGAGGGGGACGACACAGGAAAGAAAAGAAAUGAACCACGCUAUGACUUAGUAAGUUCAGGGAAGAAAAGGCAUGGGGGUGGAACAGGCAGCGAUGGAGAAGGUGAGACUCAUUUGAGAGUUAGAGUUGACCGAGCUUCAUUGGUUAGACCCUGGGUGGCAACAAAGUGGGUUGCGGAAGACACCUAGCCUCCGCCUGGGCCUUCUGGGUGGGUGGUGGAACUGUGACUCAGAUCUUCCAGACCUUGUAAUAGGUGGUUGGAGGCUUCCGGAGAGUGUCUGGAAGGGUUUAAUAAACGUGGUGCUGAGAAGGAACGGAACCGCUCCAGCCAGAAGAGCAGGCUGGUGCUAUUCUGGAAUAUGCGAAAGGGCUAGAGCACCCCGCCCCCCCUUCCAGCUGCUGGGCUCUCACCAAUGUAAGAUAAUCACUCACUGUAAGAUGAGCUAAGGUGGGUAACUCUCCACUCAAGGUGAGGCUUGUGGAUUUCAAAGGGGCAACCUCAAAUAAACACAUGGGAACCCAGUUGCUAUGUUUUGUGUAUGGGAUGGAUUCUCCACCUCCACUGGGCAAGCAAGAAUAGAAUGAGUUUACAUGAUGCCCUAGAAAUCGAUGCAGCUCUAUCUGAUUGCUACCUUGUAGACUUUUUUUUUUUUUUUUUUUUUUUGAGCACCUACUCUUCUGUCUGGUCCACCCACCACAUUCCUGUGUGUGAUUCCAAGGCUGGUUCACAUCCUGCCUUCUGGCACCUGCCCCCCAUGACAUCAGCCUGCAUUUAGUUCUUUUGCUCCCAUGUUCCUCUGCAGUAAUUUGGGGUUCAUUGCAGACAUCCUUGAAGGUUUCAGUGCUAAACCCAGGGUCCUGUGCACACACGAUAAUACCUCGCCACUGAGCUGUGGCUCCAUUCUGGGCUUUCCAUUGCGAUGUGUGCCUCGCUGGGUAGCAUAGACUGGCUUGGGGUUUGCUAUUUUCCUGCUUCAGCCUCCUGAGGAGCCAGAAUUACAAUCUCCACAGGCAGGCCUGGUUCACUCUUCGUUGUCACCUGUCCGCAGAGGAUACCCAAUCUUACUCACCUGUACACUUCUCUGUGUACUCUGGUCACCUGCACUCUUGCGAAAAAGCAGGCGAAAUGACUGCCUGUAUAGCCAACGUGGGCCUGCUGGUUGUUUCAUUCAGCAAAGGUUUACUGAGUAUUGGUCACGUGCCAAGCACAUGACUGAGCCCUGGGGCACUUGGCUCCCUCUCCUCUGGCUCACUGGGUUCUAGCUACAGUCACUUGGUUCCUACCCCAAGGCCUUUCCUCUUGUCCUUCCAUCUGCCUGGACUGAUUGUCCCUUCCCUGUGAACUUUCUUUUUAUUUUAUUUAUUUAAUUUUUUUUUUUUUAACACAGGGUCUCUCUGUGUAUCGUCCGGCUGAUCUAGAAUUUACUAUGCAGAUCAGACUGGCCUCCAGCUCAUAGAGAUCCACCUGCCUCUGCCUCCUGAGUGCUGGGAUCAAAGCCACCAUAUUUCGCUUGGACUCUUAUUUUUAUUUCCUGUGCACUGGUGUUUUGCCUGCAUGUAAGUUGGGUGUCAGACCCCUGGGACUGGAAGUAUAGAUAUGUGAGCUGCAUGUGGGUGCUGGGAAUCAAACCUGGGUCCUCUGGAAAAGCAGCCAGAGCUCUUAACCAUUGAGCCAUCUUUCCAGCUUCCACCUUGAACUCUUGAUAUCAAGGUUUCUUUGAUCUCAUUUCCUUGGAGAAACCUCAGUCUAGUCUCUUGCUGUUGCCUCGAUAUCUCAGCAUCUUUCAUUUUUCUCAACGGCACUAGGCAAAGCAGCUAAUCUUGUGUGGUUUGCAGGUAAACUAUGGGAUGGUGGCGACAUCCUCUUCUCUGUGGGAACUCAUGCAACAAGCAUGGUGCUUCCCUCCUUGCAAGAGCUCUGACCGUUGGUUUGAACCAAUAAAUGGGUGAUGUCAGCUAUAAACCAGGUUUCUGCCCUGUGGGAGCCUCCACUUCCUCACAAUUCCAGGUACUGCAUGCUCAUAGGCAAGGAACAUAAGAAGGAAGACAGUGUCAGCAUGUGGUAACUCUACCGAGGGGAGUUAAUGAGGGCUGUGGACUCAGGGGAAGGCUGUAGAGUUGGUGUGUAGGCCUGGAGUAUUUCAUCACCUUUUAUCCACUUCUGAGUAUAUGGCCUGACUUCUGCUUUACGCUUCCUAGAAACUCUUACAGCUUCUAGUCCUAGAACAAGACUUUUGAUGAUUGCUGAAGACAUAAUAGCUCCUCCUAGCCAUCUCGAGGCACUUGCAGAAAAAAAAAAAAGGACGCGUGACCGAACUGCAUAACAUGUAAUUAAAGCAGAAGGCGGGAUUCCAUUGUUCUGAAGAUUCAGCUGCACCAGAGGCUGAGAACAGGAGAAAGAACAGGUUUUUUAUCAGACUCCCGUCUCGUGUAUUUCCCUGCCUGCCUUCAUCACCUUACUUUUUUUUUUCUAGGCCAGAGGAUCAGUUUAGGGACUUAAGAAUGUUAAGGAAGCCCUACUGGACCCUCAGCCCCUGUAGCCUUCUUUCUUUAUCUGUAACCUUGUUUCAAUUUCUUCUGUUCACAACUGCAGCUUCUAUGAAACGGUUAGAUUAGAAUACAGGUGGAUAAUCGGUAAGGUUGUAGAAAUACCUUCCUGUGGGAAACUAUCUGGGAGGGAUACUGGGGGCUGUAAAUGAAGUGGCUUUUAGUUUAUUUUAAUAGAGAAAUGGAGGGAGGGGGGAAGAGGGAGGAAGGAAGAGAGAGAACAAAAGAGACCCCCAGAGACAGAAAGAAAAGACAAAAUAGAUAAUUGUGUUCCCUGUGAAGCAGCUAAUAACACUGUCAUUUUUUUGACCCCGUUGCCAUAUAAUGGAGAUAAGAAUCUCAUUAUUCAGAAACAUGCAAAUACAGCGAUUCUGGUUUCCGCACACAGCCACUAAUCACCGUGCUGCUCAGGCUGCGUAAUUUACUCUGUGAACUCAGGCACAUAAAAAAAAAAAUAUCACCCUAAUCCCUCGCCAGUCACGGCAGCCGUGAAGACAGCACCAGAAUAGUGCGCGUUUGAAAGGGGGCAGCAUGCUGAGGACCGCAUUCUUACGAGGCAAAAAAAACGGAGCCAAAUACAAUGGCUUCUGAUUGGAUUUCCAGAGCCACUGGCUAUAAAGGAACAUGGUGUGUGUGUGUGUGUGUGUGUGUGUGUGGGGUUCUCCAAUGGUGCAAAGUUUGAAGCUAACACCAAAGUCUUGACACAGGAUGGGCAGAAUUGGAAAUGAGGGUUCCCCGUGACCUUAAGGAGUUCCAAGUUGCUCACUUCUACUACCUAAGAAACAGAGGCUUUUGGGAUUUCUUCGGCUUAGAUCUAAGUGGUCCAAAAGCCAGACAUUACUAGCCGCAUGCGGGUCUUGAGCGCUUGAAAUACGGCUGGUGCAACGUAGAGGAGCUGGACUCCUAGGACGAACACUGAAGUCGCAGACUGUGAUUGGGGAAUAAGGUAAGGUUGAUCAUAUUUAUUUAUUUGAAACAGGGCCUCAGGAGAUCAGGCUGGCCCAAACCGGACACAUAGCUGAGGAUGAUCUUGAACCUCUGAUCCUCCUGCUACCACUGCUGGGAUUAUAAAUAUGAGUUAUCACGCCCAGUUUAUGCAUGCCCACAGCUUCCUGUGUGCCAGGCAGAUGAUACCAGCUGAGACGGAAACAUCAAGAUUAGCAUAUGGAGGGUUGCAGCGCACAGCGCCUGUCUGCGCUCUAUGCGCUACCAUACAGUUCGCGAGCUUCGGGCAAGGGGCUGGAGAUUGAAACACACACAAAGACACAUAGACGGGAGACAGAAACACGGACCUCCAGUCACUGGUGCCUGUAACAUGAACUCCACCACGCUUUCUUCUGAGAACUGCUGGGGAGUCUGCUGAGAGCAUAAUCUCAGCGUUGCGGGUUCUGGUGGCCCCGAUGGCCGGAUCCCGUGAAGAGGCUGUUUCAUUUGUUUA